UACGGAGGAUGCGAGCGUUAUCCGGAUUUAUUAGGUUUAAAGGGUACGUAGGCGGCGCUAUAAGUCAGGGGUGAAAUUUACAGGCUCAACCUGUAAACUGCCUUUGAAACUGUAGUGCUAGAGUUGUGACGGAGUAGGCGGAAUAUGUGGAGUAGCGGUGAAAUGCAUAGAUACCACAUAGAACCCCGAUAGCGAAGGCA
rnacentral:rRNA from 1 species